rnacentral:rRNA from 1 species
GACGAACGCUGGCGGCGUGCCUAAUACAUGCAAGUGGGACGCAAGGGAACACACUGUGCUUGCACACCGUGUUUUCUUGAGUCGCGAACGGGUGAGUAACGCGUAGGUAACCUGCCUAUUAGCGGGGGAUAACUAUUGGAAACGAUAGCUAAUACCGCAUAAUAUUAAUUAUUGCAUGAUAAUUGAUUGAAAGAUGCAAGCGCAUCACUAGUAGAUGGACCUGCGUUGUAUUAGCUAGUUGGUAAGGUAAGAGCUUACCAAGGCGACGAUACAUAGCCGACCUGAGAGGGUGAUCGGCCACACUGGGACUGAGACACGGCCCAGACUCCUACGGGAGGCAGCAGUAGGGAAUCUUCGGCAAUGGACGAAAGUCUGACCGAGCAACGCCGCGUGAGUGAAGAAGGUUUUCGGAU